GCUGGCGGCAGGCCUAACACAUGCAAGUCGAACGGUAACAGGCUGUAUGGGAUCCCUUCGGGGUGAACUUGGCGCUGACGAGUGGCGAACGGGUGAGUAACACGUAG
rnacentral:rRNA from 1 species